CUAGAACAAUAGGACUUGAACCUAUUCCUAAGAAUUCAAAAUUCUUUGUGCCACCUAAACACCUCAUUCUA
rnacentral:tRNA from 1 species